AGGGCGGCAGGGCGGGGGCCGCCCACCCGGGAGACGGAAAAAAGUCUCGGCCGAAGGUGCCGGGAUCCGCGAGGAGAGUUCUGCCGUGCUUCUCUCUUACAGAAACCCGAGCUGUCCCGUGCUUACUUCCCUGAGCCAGGCUGAUGUCAGGGCUGUGCGUCGUGGAGCCGGCUGUGAAAUCCUUCUGACAGCCCUGCUGGGGUCUCUCCUCCUGGAAACUCCCAACGCUAACAGGCCCUGCUGCGCCCAGCUUAGCAGGGGAAGCCAGACUCAGCUGGAGACUUUCUGCUCAUACGAGUGUGUGGGUUGCGAAACAGCAGGGUGCUCUUCAAAGGAUGUCCUCCAACAGAGCCUUUGGUCUCCAUACCUGAAGCAUGUUAAGUUUUGGCUGAAUUGCAAAGCGUCUUCUUUUCUCUGUCAGUCUUAAGGCCCUGGUAGCAGAAAUGGACUUGGCUACUUUUGAACUGCAGUGGGGUCUACAGUCUGUUUGAUAAAGCAUCUUUAGCAGAAUAAGAUAGGUAUUCUUUUCUGGGGGAAAAAUUGAGUAAAAGCUCCAGUGAAUAAAUACAAGUUGUUUUCAACACUCUCCUCCUGGACUCCUGCUGUUGAGUGACUGCAAAAUUCGGAGAGAUUAUUUUGGCAGUUCCAAAAGUCUGUCACACAGAUCUGAGCUUUUUUUUCCUUGUAUUUGUCAAUGUGUGACUAAGCACAAGUAUUACAGGAAGCAUGGAAAUGUUUGGGCUUUAAAGAAUGGUUGUGGAAAAAGACCUCCUACUGAUUAACGACUGCUGUUUAAUAAAAUAAUUUUUGGAUGUCCAAAUUGCUGAUUGUUCCGCUGAGGGUUACGUUCUGACCAGAAGGGAUCCCACCAGUCCCAUGUCAUCAGCCCGGGCACUUUGUGAAGGGUUUUUUCUGCCGCCAUUUCCUGCUUCAAAACAAUGAAGGAUGAGAGAUACCCAUCGUUACUCCCCAUGGUGCAGGGAUGUGUUCAUCUCAGUCUCUAGGGUGGCUUCAAAAUCUGAGAGGGAGCCAGAACAGUCUCACUGAGGUACAAGGAAGCAUCUUUGCUUGAGAGAUGCAACCCUUUGCUUGAUUAGGAAGGCCCAGCUAGAAGGGAAAACCAGAAUGUGUCUCACUAAAACACUGAGAGUCAUUGUGGGUGUGCUGGGAGGAAUUUCCCUCUUCUGCAGUUCUCUUUCCAUGGCAGGACCCUGGCUCAGCUGGCUGCUUGCAGGCUGCUCUCGUGCUUCCUUCAGUAGGGCUUGGACUCGGAUUGCUCAUUGCACUCUAAACUCCUGGCGCUUGGACUGUUUUGUUUUAGUAGCACGCUGUGCCAAAUCAAUUUCUCACACAUGCAAUCACUCAUACCUGUUUCAUUUUAAGCUCUUUCCUGAUGUGCUGCAAGGCUUGUGUCUUACUUGCUGUCUUGUGAGAUGCUUGCAGAGUGCUGCUGGAUGGUCUUCUACAAGUGACAUGCACAAUGCUACAGGCAAAUGCUGCAGCUUAAAGCACGGCCACAUUCAUGGCUGGUCCGGCAUGCUCUUUGCAACGUGUUUCCUCUCUCAUUAUCUCUGGGAUAAUACACAGCUUCAGCUCUCCAUGCAAUUGUGCGUUCUUAGUCUACAUGUGGCUGCAGACAGCAAAUUGAUGAUACCACCACAUUUUUGUUGUUUUUUUUUUCACAGGCAGGCAGCAGAUGCCAGGAAGUGUUGCUUAUUAACAUUAAUCAUUACUCUGUUGAUAGCCCUGGGCAAGCUGCUGUAAUUGACCAGAACCAAAUUCAGUAAUCAUAUCAUGGAAAAUAUACUUCACAUUUAUUUCACAUCUGAAUUACAGUAAUAUGAAUUCAUGGCAAAAUUCUCGGUGUCUACGUCAGAAGCAGGAGAAGAGCCUUUGUCUGCUAGCACAGAUGUAACUGAGCUGUUAAUCACAGUCUGCUAUGCUUAGGCAGAAUGCUAAGGCUAAAUCGAGAAGUCAUAAAAUUAUCCUCCAGGAUCUUGUAGACCAAAUCCUAUUCAGAUAAAUAAAGAGAAGUCUCUUUAUAGUGUUUGUAGAACUGUGUUUUCCAUUUGUGUUUUCCAUUGUUUUCUUUGAGCAUUACCCUUCAGUAGAUGGGACUGCCACGAUCUCUUCAAAGAAUAUAAAUGCUCUAAUAAGAAUGUGUAAAAAGGCCUUCCAAUAAGACAGUUGCAGAAGCAUUUCUUUUUACCAAAUUAUCAACAGAAAAUCAUUAGAACAAACAAACAACAGCUGAAGAGUAAAGCGGCAAGAAGAAACACAUCUGAGGUUUAAUUUGAUCACUUUAUGCCUGGAAAACAGAAUGUGGAGUUAGUUAUUGAACAGUAUUUGUAUCACAUUGACUAUUGUGUUAAUGAAUUCAAUUUUUAUUAAAUAGCAUCAACAUGUUAGAUAUUACAUUGGAAAGAAAUAAAGAUGAAUAGCUAG
ensembl:lncRNA